GCCCGUCUAGCUCAGUCGGUAGAGCGCAAGACUCUUAAUCUUGCUUGUGGUCGUGGGUUCGAGCCCCACGGUGGGCG
rnacentral:tRNA from 1 species